AUUGAACGCUGGCGGCAGGCCUAACACAUGCAAGUCGAGCGGGGUUUUCGGACCUAGCGGCGGACGGGUGAGUAAUGCGUAGGAAGCUACCCGAUAGAGGGGGAUACCAGUUGGAAACGACUGUUAAUACCGCAUAAUGUCUACGGACCAAAGUGUGGGACCUUCGGGCCACAUGCUAUCGGAUGCGCCUACGUGGGAUUAGCUAGUUGGUGGGUAAUGGCUCACCAAGGCGACGAUCCCUAGCUGGUUUGAGAGGAUGAUCAGCCACACUGGAACUGAGACACGGUCCAGACUCCUACGGGAGGCAGCAGUGGGGAAUAUUGGACAAUGGGCGCAAGCCUGAUCCAGCCAUGCCGCGUGUGUGAAGAAGGCC
rnacentral:rRNA from 1 species